rnacentral:rRNA from 1 species
GAUUGCAGGCUGCAACUCGCCUGCAUGAAGUUGGAACUGCUAGUAAUCGCGAAUCAGAAUGUCGCGGUGAAUACGUUCCCGGGCCUUGUACACACCGCCCGUCACACCAUGAGAGUCGAUAACACCCGAAGCCUGUGACCCAACCCGAAAGGGAGGGAGCCGUCGAAGGCAGGUCGGAUGACUGGGGUGAAGUCGUAACAAGGUAAC